rnacentral:rRNA from 1 species
AUUGAACGCUGGCGGCAGGCCUAACACAUGCAAGUCGAACGGUAACAGGAAGCAGCUUGCUGCUUCGCUGACGAGUGGCGGACGGGUGAGUAAUGUCUGGGAAGCUGCCUGAUGGAGGGGGAUAACUACUGGAAACGGUAGCUAAUACCGCAUAAUGUCGCAAGACCAAAGAGGGGGACCUUCGGGCCUCUUGCCAUCGGAUGUGCCCAGAUGGGAUUAGCUUGUUGGUGGGGUAACGGCUCACCAAGGCGACGAUCCCUAGCUGGUCUGAGGGGAUGACCAGCCACACUGGAACUGAGACACGGUCCAGACUCCUACGGGAGGCAGCAGUGGGGAAUAUUGCACAAUGGGCGCAAGCCUGAUGCAGCCAUGCCGCGUGUAUGAAGAAGGCCUUCGGGUUGUAAAGUACUUUCAGCGGGGAGGAAGGGAGUAAAGUUAAUACCUUUGCUCAUUGACGUUACCCGCAGAAGAAGCACCGGCUAACUCCGUGCCAGCAGCCGCGGUAAUACGGAGGGUGCAAGCGUUAAUCGGAAUUACUGGGCGUAAAGCGCACGCAGGCGGUUUGUUAAGUCAGAUGUGAAAUCCCCGGGCUCAACCUGGGAACUGCAUCUGAUACUGGCAAGCUUGAGUCUCGUAGAGGGGGGUAGAAUUCCAGGUGUAGCGGUGAAAUGCGUAGAGAUCUGGAGGAAUACCGGUGGCGAAGGCGGCCCCCUGGACGAAGACUGACGCUCAGGUGCGAAAGCGUGGGGAGCAAACAGGAUUAGAUACCCUGGUAGUCCACGCCGUAAACGAUGUCGACUUGGAGGUUGUGCCCUUGAGGCGUGGCUUCCGGAGCUAACGCGUUAAGUCGACCGCCUGGGGAGUACGGCCGCAAGGUUAAAACUCAAAUGAAUUGACGGGGGCCCGCACAAGCGGUGGAGCAUGUGGUUUAAUUCGAUGCAACGCGAAGAACCUUACCUGGUCUUGACAUCCACGGAAGUUUUCAGAGAUGAGAAUGUGCCUUCGGGAACCGUGAGACAGGUGCUGCAUGGCUGUCGUCAGCUCGUGUUGUGAAAUGUUGGGUUAAGUCCCGCAACGAGCGCAACCCUUAUCCUUUGUUGCCAGCGGUCCGGCCGGGAACUCAAAGGAGACUGCCAGUGAUAAACUGGAGGAAGGUGGGGAUGACGUCAAGUCAUCAUGGCCCUUACGACCAGGGCUACACACGUGCUACAAUGGCGCAUACAAAGAGAAGCGACCUCGCGAGAGCAAGCGGACCUCAUAAAGUGCGUCGUAGUCCGGAUUGGAGUCUGCAACUCGACUCCAUGAAGUCGGAAUCGCUAGUAAUCGUGGAUCAGAAUGCCACGGUGAAUACGUUCCCGGGCCU